UUAUUACUUAAACUGUAGAUAAUGGCACAAUUUACAUACAGGUAUCAGUUUGUUUAGAGUUUUUGUAUUUUGACACUUUACUUUUUUGAAAAGGUCAGAGUAAUUUAUGAUAUAAAUGUUCAUGGUGAAGUUGCUGUGAAAGCCAAAGGCACUUUUUAAUUAUUUAUAUAAUUUCACAUUUUCUUGGCAGUCAGAUUGUUUUGACACUAUUGCACAAACAUAUGAUCAUUUUAGAUGUUCCUUUAUUUAAUGAAAGAUAAUAAGACUGGCUUCCAUCAUUUUUCAGAUGUUGUACAACUACAGGACUCUCAAUCUCACUCAAGUUGAUGGGUCAGUUGCACUGUAAUUCACACUGGUCACGGGAAAAAGUGCCGCUGGGUGGGAAUCAAUUGUAGUUUCUCCGGAAAAGAUGUUACAGCCAGUGUAUGAAGACUGAACUUUUGAUAGGUCACAGGUGCUCUCGCAAAGACUGAUGGCCUGGCAGCAUAAACUAUUCUAUGGUUAUAGGGGUAAUGUCUUUAAACAGAAGCAUGCUGUUGUGGAGUGAAAGUGCACAAACCAUUGAUAACCCUUUGGAGAAUCAGUACCAGAUGUCUUUUCAAAUGUUUGCCAUUCUGAAGUUUUUUUUUGACUGAGCA